rnacentral:rRNA from 1 species
GACGAACGCUGGCGGCGUGCUUAACACAUGCAAGUCGUACGGUAAGGCCCUUUCGGGGGUACACGAGUGGCGAACGGGUGAGUAACACGUGAGUAACCUGCCCACAACUUUGGGAUAACGCUAGGAAACUGGUGCUAAUACUGGAUAUGUGCUCCUGCUGCAUGGUGGUGGUUGGAAAGCUCCGGCGGUUGUGGAUGGACUCGCGGCCUAUCAGCUUGUUGGUGGGGUAGUGGCCUACCAAGGCGGCGACGGGUAGCCGGCCUGAGAGGGUGACCGGCCACAUUGGGACUGAGAUACGGCCCAGACUCCUACGGGAGGCAGCAGUGGGGAAUAUUGCACAAUGGGCGCAAGCCUGAUGCAGCAACGCCGCGUGCGGGAUGACGGCCUUCGGGUUGUAAACCGCUUUCAGCAGGGACGAAGCUUUUUGUGACGGUACCUGCAGAAGAAGCACCGGCUAACUACGUG